rnacentral:tRNA from 2 species
GAGUGUAUAGCUUAGUCGGUGAAAGCAGUAGACUUUUAAUCUAUAGAUCUUAGGUUCAAAUCCUAAUACACUCA